rnacentral:rRNA from 1 species
UACGAAGGGGGCUAGCGUUGCUCGGAAUUACUGGGCGUAAAGGGCGCGUAGGCGGAUAGUUUAGUCAGAGGUAAAAGCCCAGGGCUCAACCUUGGAACUGCCUUUGAUACUGGCUAUCUUGAGUUCGGGAGAGGUGAGUGGAAUGCCGAGUGUAGAGGUGAAAUUCGUAGAUAUUCGGCGGAACACCAGUGGCGAAGGCGACUCACUGGCCCGAUACUGACGCUGAGGCGCGAAAGCGUGGGAGCAACAGG